AUUGAACGCUGGCGGCAUGCCUUACACAUGCAAGUCGAACGGUAACGCGGGGCAACCUGGCGACGAGUGGCGAACGGGUGAGUAAUGCAUCGGAACGUGCCUGGUAGUGGGGAUAACUGCUCGAAAGAGCAGCUAAUACCGCAUACGACCUGAGGGUGAAAGGGGGGGAUCGCAAGACCUCUCGCUAUCAGAGCGGCCGAUGUCGGAUUAGCUAGUUGGUGGGGUAAAGGCCCACCAAGGCGACGAUCCGUAGCUGGUCUGAGAGGACGACCAGCCACACUGGGAAUGAGAGACGGCCCAGACUCCUACGAGAGUGAGCAGUGGGGAAUUUUGUACAAUGGACGCAAGUCUGAUCCAGCCAUGCCGCGUGCGGGAAGAAGGCCUUCGGGUUGUAAACUGCUUUUGUGAGGGAAGAAAUCCUCUGGGUUAAUACCCCGGGGGGAUGACGGUACCUGAAGAAUAAGCACCGGCUAACUACGUGCCAGCCGCCGCAGUAA
rnacentral:rRNA from 1 species